GUCGAGAAUCUUCCGCAAUGCGCGAAAGCGUGACGGAGCGACACCGCGUGAUGGAUGAAGUCCUUCGGGGCGUAAACAUCUUUUAUAAAGGAGGAAAUUUUUGACGUUACUUUAUGAAUAAGGGGCUCCCAAUCUCGUGCCAGCAGGAGCGGUAAUACGAGAGCCUCAAGCGUUAUUCGGAAUCAUUUGGCGUAAAGGGUGCGUAGGUGGUUUGAUUAGUCUCCCGUUAAAACUUCCAGCUUAACACGAAAAGAGUGGGGGAAACGGUCAAACUAGAGUAUGUGAGAGGUGUGUGGAACUCAUGGUGUAGGGGUGAAAUCCUUUGAUAUCAUGGGGAACACCAAAAGCGAAAGCAGCACACUGGCACAUCACUGACACUGAGGCACGAAACCUAAGGUAGCGAAUGCGAUUAGAUAACCGUGUAGUCC
rnacentral:rRNA from 1 species